AGCCCUAACCUCUAGUCCUCUACAUUCGAGAUUCAACGACGAUUGCCCUCUUCCUGGUGACCUGAGACAAAACUUGAGCUCUUAAGGCUGGAGGUCUCUCGGUGAGUUUGCGGUGGGGGAGGAGAAUUAUACACCAUGGCAAGCUGGGUAGGUGAGAGGAGGACGUGGCCUUGCUGAAAUCAUUCAUUACACGAGGCAUAAUGGCUAACAAUGUGAUUUUGAUAUGGAAAGCUUUUGAGAAUUGAAGGGGAUGAUGACUUUAGUUUGACUUCGAUGAGUUUGGUGCUGACUAGCUAGUUUGUUGGCACAGUUUGCUAUAACAGGCGGUUACUAUUUAGUAUAUGUAACUUGCUGUCCAGAAAUGUUUUAUGUAAUGUUGCAAUUGAAUGUUGUUAAUUUGGUAUUGUAACAUGACAGUUGAUUGUUUCAAUGGAAUGCCUUUGAUUUGGUGUUUUGAU